GACGAACGCUGGCGGCGUGCCUAAUACAUGCAAGUAGAACGCAGUUGCGAACGGGUGAGUAACUCGUAGGUAACUGCCUAAUCGCGGGGGAUAACUAUUGGAAACGAUAGCUAAUACCGCAUACUGUGAGAUGUACCUGCGUUGUAUUAGCUAGUUGGCGAGGUACAGGCUCACCAAGGCGACGAUACAUAGCCGGCCUGAGAGGGUGAUCGGCCACACUGGGACUGGGACACGGCCCAGACUCCUCCGGGAGGCAGAAGUAGGGAAUCGUCGGAAAUGGACGGAAGGCUGACCGAGCAACGCCGCGUGCGUGAAGAGGGUGUUCGGAUCGUAAAGCUCUUUUGUUAGAGAAGCGGUAACUAACGAAAAAGGGACGGCUAACUACGUGCCAGCAGCCGCGGUAAUUC
rnacentral:rRNA from 1 species